UGGUUCAUGGGCAAUGCUGUUAAGUAAAUGGAAAGAUACAGAGAAUUUUCAAAACGAACUUAGUGUUAAACAUUAUUCUUGGUACUGCUCAAUGUGUGUGUACUGCUACGCUACGGAAAAUUGUGACUGGCAAAAGAAAUCCACCUGGGAUAACUAGAUUGCGGUAUAUGUAUUUUCUUUGUGGUAUACAACCUCUGUGGUUGGUUCUUUGAUAUCCCAGGCAAGGGGAAUAGAAUAUAUUCAAUAAAAAUACGUCGUUGUGUACAAUUUCGUUUGAGCAGACAAAUAAUAAAGUAUGAAAUAAAAUUUUCCAGUGAAAGAUUAAACAAAAACUUUUUGUUGUAACGUAAUGGCUAUUGACACUGGCGAUUGGCCAAUAUGACCAGUUACUUCAAAAGAAGAGGUCGUUUCAGUUUCUGGAGGUCUGCCAACGGACUUCCGGAGUUUCGUAACAGUCAGGAACGUGUUCUGGUGUCGCCCAGGAACUUAGACUCGAGCAGGAAUCCCCCACAUCGCUGACGACGCUAUCUCUGCCUCCAUUUCCGAGCCCGGUUGCACUACUGCCGCCACCGGAUACUGGGCCACCGCCUCCAGAUCGGCCCCUGCUGCUCAGUCCACCGAACAAGCUAAUUUCAUUGAAGACGUCUAUGCCAGACGAUUGAUCACGUUCAAAGAAUCAGUAUGGCAUUAAGUUUACCUGAAGUCACUGUCAGCCACGAUGGAACAAUAAGGCUCGACAUCUUCCUUAUCAUCAGCUGAACUGUAACCACUCUGCGCCCCAGCUCCAUGUAACACCAGUACAUCCUCAUCCUCGGAAUCUCUGGCAG